UACGUGCCAGCAGCCGCGGUAAUACGUAGGUGGCAAGCGUUGUCCGGAAUUAUUGGGCGUAAAGCGCGCGCAGGCGGUUUCUUAAGUCUGAUGUGAAAAGCCCCCCGGCUCAACCGGGGAGGGUCAUUGGAAAACUGGGGAACUUGAGUGCAGAAGAGGAGAGUGGAAUUCCACGUGUAGCGGUGAAAUGCGUAGAGAUGUGGAGGAACACCAGUGGCGAAGGCGACUCUCUGGUCUGUAACUGACGCUGAGGCGCGAAAGCGUGGGGAGCGAACAGGAUUAGAUACCCUGGUAGUCCACGCCGUAAACGAUGAGUGCUAAGUGUUAGAGGGUUUCCGCCCUUUAGUGCUGCAGCAAACGCAUUAAGCACUCCGCCUGGGGAGUACGGUCGCAAGACUGAAACUCAAAGGAAUUGACGGGGGCCCGCACAAGCGGUGGAGCAUGUGGUUUAAUUCGAAGCAACGCGAAGAACCUUACCAGGUCUUGACAUCCUCUGGCAACCCUAGAGAUAGGGCUUCCCCUUCGGGGGCAGAGUGACAGGUGGUGCAUGGUUGUCGUCAGCUCGUGUCGUGAGAUGUUGGGUUAAGUCCCGCAACGAGCGCAACCCUUGAUCUUAGUUGCCAGCAUUCAGUUGGGCACUCUAAGGUGACUGCCGGUGACAAACCGGAGGAAGGUGGGGAUGACGUCAAAUCAUCAUGCCCCUUAUGACCUGGGCUACACACGUGCUACAAUGGGCAGAACAAAGGGCAGCGAAGCCGCGAGGCUAAGCCAAUCCCACAAAUCUGUUCUCAGUUCGGAUACGCAGUCUGCAACUCGACUGCGUGAAGCUGGAAUCGCUAGUA
rnacentral:rRNA from 1 species